AGUGAACGCUGGCGGCAGGCCUAAUACAUGCAAGUCGAACGGCAGCACAGUGGAGCUUGCUCCAUGGGUGGCGAGUGGCGGACGGGUGAGGAAUACAUGGGAAUCUGCCCAGUCGUGGGGGAUAACGUAGGGAAACUUACGCUAAUACCGCAUGCGCCCUUCGGGGGAAAGCCGGGGACCUUCGGGCCUGGCGCGAUUGGAUGAGCCCAUGUUCGAUUAGCUAGUUGGCGGGGUAAAGGCCCACCAAGGCGACGAUCGAUAGCUGGUCUGAGGGGAUGAUCAGCCACACUGGGACUGAGACACGGCCCAGACUCCUACGGGAGGUAGCAGUAGGGAAUAUUGGACAAUGGGCGCAAGCCUGAUCCAGCCAUGCCGCGUGAGUGAAGAAGGCCCUCGGGUUGUAAAGCUCUUUUGUCCGGGAAGAAAAGCAUCGGGCUAAUACCUCGGUGUUCUGACGGUACCGGAAGAAGAAGCACCGGCUAACUUCGUG
rnacentral:rRNA from 1 species